GUUAGGGGAGAGAGUAGACACCCUGGGAGUGGCCUGACAAGUGUCCUGUUCUUUCCCUCUCUGAUGCACACCCUGGAGGAUAUGAACCAUUGCGUGGUGUGUGUGCACAGGCUUCUCCAGGUAGCUGUUACCUUCUGAUGAACUAAAAAACUGGUGUGAUUCAGCAACCAACACAGAGCUAACACUGACAUGGAUCACCUGGCCCUGGUAGAAGAGCAAAACUGCAGAAACUAUCUGGCCAUAGACAUCUCCUGACCCAGUGCCUGAAGAGAUGUACACGUCAAAACAAAACAAAACACACCACUAAUAAAACAUCUGGACUCCUGUAUGUCAACUGGUCUUACAGAAGUGGUAUUGAUCUUAUGUGCCUCAGUAUGCAAUAUCACCUCUGAUGGAGAGAGAAGGUUGCUCACGGACAACAACCUUAACACCUCACACAGAUCGUUGCCGCUGUUUUUAAUUAUUUUGGGAUCCCCUGUUUCCCUUCCUGGAGGCGCGGAUUUUGCAAAAUCCCUCCACCCCACUAGUCACGGAACCGGGCCGGACCAGCCCUUAAACCGUUGAUAGCAUCUUAAGUUAUCUCCCAGGAAGAUCUGCUCCAUGAUCAUUUCACAGGGGACCUCACCUGACAGCCAUGACUUUUCAAAUAUGAUGGAGAGUGCUUUACCAACCGCAUAAGACAGUUCCUUCAGGGACCUGGGAUGCACGUAACCUGGCCCCAUAAACUGUACACAUUCAGCCUCAUGAACUGGUCUUGUACUUGCUCUGCUUUCACAAUGGGAAGGAUUUCAGGAAUGCAAGAGACACAGGAAGUCUGACUGUUCUGUAACAUGAACA
ensembl:lncRNA